AGGAAGACGGCCCUAUGGGUUGUAAACUGCUUUUAUAGGUAAAGAAACACUCCCUCGUGAGGGAGCUUGACGGUACUGUAAGAAUAAGGAUCGGCUAACUCCGUGCCAGCAGCCGCGGUAAUACGGAGGAUCCAAGCGUUAUCCGGAAUCAUUGGGUUUAAAGGGUCCGUAGGCGGGAUAAUAAGUCAGCGGUGAAAGUCUGUGGCUCAACCAUAGAAUUGCCAUUGAUACUGUUGUUCUUGAGUGUUUAUGAAGUGGUUAGAAUAUGUAGUGUAGCGGUGAAAUGCUUAGAUAUUACAUGGAAUACCGAUUGCGAAGGCAGAUCACUAAUAAAAUACUGACGCUGAUGGACGAAAGCGUAGGUAGCGAACAGGAUUAGAUACCCUGGUAGUCUACGCCGUAAA
rnacentral:rRNA from 1 species